ACGGAAGGCAGCAGUGGGGGAUAUUGCACAAUGGGGGGAACCCUGAUGCAGCGACGCCGCGUGAGGGAAGAAGGUUUUCGGAUUGUAAACCUCUGUCUAUGGGGACGAUAAUGACGGUACCCAAGGAGGAAGCUCCGGCUAACUACGUGCCAGCAGCCGCGGUAAUACGUAGGGAGCGAGUGUUGUCCGGAAUUACUGGGUGUAAAGGGAGCGUAGGCGGGUUUGUAAGUUAAAUGUGAAAUGUAUGGGCUCAACCCAUAAACUGCGUUUAAAACUACAGAUCUUGAGAGGAGUAGAGGCAGGCGGAAUUCCUAGUGUAGCGGUGAAAUGCGUAGAUAUUAGGAAGAACACCGGUGGCGAAGGCGGCCUGCUGGGCUCCAACUGACGCUGAGGCUCGAAAGCGUGGGUAGCAAACAGGAUUAGAUACCCUGGUA
rnacentral:rRNA from 1 species